rnacentral:lncRNA from 1 species
UUUUAAAUUUUGAAGUCAAUCAUUAUUUUAAAUUUAAAUUUUGAAGUAAACCAUUAUUGUGUUUGAUUUUAAAUUUUGUAUGCUUUGAAAUCUUGAUGUUUUUUUUAUGAGAUGCUUUGACUAUAUUAUUUGUAAUUUUAGGGAUGCUUCGAGUCUUUGACUAUUGUUUUUGUACUCGAGUUGCAUAUCUCACAAACUUUUUGUGUUUUGUAAUUUUAGGUGAAGAGCUUCUUUCAGACUCCUUCCCCUACAAGGAACUAUUGAAUGGGUUCCUAUGAGAAGUUGAAGAAAAGUUAUGGAUAAUGAAAACAAUGCUCCUUCGU